AAAGUCGUAACAAGGUUUCCGUAGGUGAACCUGCGGCGGAAACAUUG
rnacentral:rRNA from 1 species